GACGUGAGGGCGCGAGCGUUUGUCCGGAUUUAUUGGGGCGUAAAGAGCUCGUAGGCGGCUUGUCGCGUCGUCCGUGAAAACUUGGGGCUCAACCCCAAGCUUGCGGUCGAUACGGGCAGGCUCGAGUUCGGUAGGGGAGACUGGAAUUCCUGGUGUAGCGGUGAAAUGCGCAGAUAUCAGGAGGAACACCGGUGGCGAAGGCGGAUCUCUGGGCCUUACCUGACGCUGAGGCGCGAAAGCUAGGGGAGCGAACAGG
rnacentral:rRNA from 1 species